rnacentral:lncRNA from 1 species
UAGUCUUGUGCAGCAUCCACUCGAGCUCUGGAGAAUGAUAUCAAAGGGUCCAGUAUCUCUUCUAUAUCAAAAUAAUUAGGAUGGCAUUCUGCAAACAGAAAUUGAUGAGAUCGAACUUGAGAAAAAUCAAUGAGCCAUAGCUCAGAGCUUAUCAUGACGAUCGCCCUGAAAGCCCUCUCAAAUAAGGCACCCACGAAGCUGCUCUCCAGCUUGCUUCUACCGCAGGGGAGGACAAUCUCUAGAGCUAAUUUCUAUGCAACUUG